UGGGGAAUAUUGGACAAUGGGCGAAAGCCUGAUGCAGCAACGCCGCGUGAGGGAUGACGGCCUUCGGGUUGUAAACCUCUUUUAGUAGGGAAGAAGCGAAAGUGACGGUACCUGCAGAAAAAGCACCGGCUAACUACGUGCCAGCAGCCGCGGUAAUACGUAGGGUGCAAGCGUUGUCCGGAAUUAUUGGGCGUAAAGAGCUCGUAGGCGGUUUGUCGCGUCUGCUGUGAAAUCCCGAGGCUCAACCUCGGGUCUGCAGUGGGUACGGGCAGACUAGAGUGUGGUAGGGGAGAUUGGAAUUCCUGGUGUAGCGGUGGAAUGCGCAGAUAUCAGGAGGAACACCGAUGGCGAAGGCAGAUCUCUGGGCCAUUACUGACGCUGAGGAGCGAAAGCAUGGGGAGCGAACA
rnacentral:rRNA from 1 species